rnacentral:rRNA from 1 species
ACGGCUCAGUAACACGUGGAUAACCUGCCCUUGGGUCCGGCAUAACCCCGGGAAACUGGGGAUAAUUCCGGAUAACGCAUAUGUGCUGGAAUGCUUUAUGCGUCAAAUGGAUUCGUCUGCCCAAGGAUGGGUCUGCGGCCUAUCAGGUAGUAGUGGGUGUAAUGUACCUACUAGCCGACAACGGGUACGGGUUGUGAGAGCAAGAGCCCGGAGAUGGAUUCUGAGACAUGAAUCCAGGCCCUACGGGGCGCAGCAGGCGCGAAAACUUUACAAUGCGGGAAACCGUGAUAAGGGGACACCGAGUGUCAGCAUCAUAUGCUGGCUGUCCAGGUGUGUAAAAUACACCUGUUAGCAAGGGCCGGGCAAGACCGGUGCCAGCCGCCGCGGUAACACCGGCGGCCCGAGUGGUGAUCGUGAUUAUUGGGUCUAAAGGGUCCGUAGCCGGUUUGGUCAGUCCUCCGGGAAAUCUGAUAGCUCAACUAUUAGGCUAUCGGGGGAUACUACCAGACUUGGAACCGGGAGAGGUAAGAGGUACUACAGGGGUAGGAGUGAAAUCUUGUAAUCCCUGUGGGACCACCUGUGGCGAAGGCGUCUUACCAGAACGGGUUCGACGGUGAGGGACGAAAGCUGGGGGCACGAACCGGAUUAGAUACCCGGGUAGUCCCAGCCGUAAACGAUGCUCGCUAGGUGUCAGGCAUGGCGCGACCGUGUCUGGUGCCGCAGGGAAGCCGUGAAGCGAGCCACCCGGGAAGUACGGCCGCAAGGCUGAAACUUAAAGGAAUUGGCGGGGGAGCAC